GAACGGUACCAGCGGAAGCUUGCUUCCGCCUGACGAGUGGCGGACGGGUGAGUAACACGUAGGAAUCUACCUACUAGUGGGGGACAACCCGGGGAAACCCGGGCUAAUACCGCAUAAGCUCGUAAGAGGAAAGCAGCAAUGCGCUGGAAGAGGAGCCCGCGUCGGAUUAGGUAGUUGGUAGGGUAACGGCCUACCAAGCCUACGAUCCGUAGCUGGUCUGAGAGGAUGAUCAGCCACACUGGGACUGAGAUACGGCCCAGACUCCUACGGGAGGCAGCAGUGGGGAAUAUUGGACAAUGGGGGCAACCCUGAUGCAGCGACGCCGCGUGAGUGAUGAAGCCCUUCGGGGUGUAAAGCUCUUUCGA
rnacentral:rRNA from 1 species